rnacentral:rRNA from 1 species
AUUGAACGCUGGCGGCAGGCCUAACACAUGCAAGUCGAACGAGUGGCGGACGGGUGAGUAAUGUCUGGGAAACUGCCUGAUGGAGGGGGAUAACUAAUGGAAACGGUAGCUAAUACCGCAUACCAUCGGAUGUGCCCAAAUGGGAUUAGCUAGUCGGUGGGGUAAAGGCUCACCUAGGCACCGAUCGCUAGCGUGUCUGAGAGGAUGACCCGCCACACUGGGACUGAGACACGGCCCAGACUCCUACGGGAGGCAGCAGUGGGGAAUAUUGCACAAGGGGCGCAAGCCUGAUGCAGCCAUGCCGCGUGUAUGAAGAAGGCCUUCGGGUUGUAAAGUACUUUCAGCGGGGAUGCGUUACCCGCAGAAGAAGCACCGGCUAACUCCGUGCCAGCAGCCGCGGUAAUAC